GAUGAACGCUGGCGGCGUGCCUAAUACAUGCAAGUCGAGCGAACAGAUGAGGAGCUUGCUCCUCUGACGUUAGCGGCGGACGGGUGAGUAACACGUGGAUAACCUACCUAUAAGACUGGGAUAACUUCGGGAAACCGGAGCUAAUACCGGAUAAUAUAUUGAACCGCAUGGUUCAAUAGUGAAAGACGGUUUUGCUGUCACUUAUAGAUGGAUCCGCGCCGCAUUAGCUAGUUGGUAAGGUAACGGCUUACCAAGGCAACGAUGCGUAGCCGACCUGAGAGGGUGAUCGGCCACACUGGAACUAAGACACGGUCCAGACUCCUACGGGAGGCAGCAGUAGGGAAUCUUCCGCAAUGGGCGAAAGCUUGACGGAGCAACGACGCGUGAGUGAUGAAGGUCUUCGGAUCGUAAAACUCUGUUAUUAGGGAAGAACAAAUGUGUAAGUAACUAUGCACGUCUUGACGGUACCUAAUCAGAAAGCCACGGCUAACUACGUG
rnacentral:rRNA from 1 species